GACGCCUGGGGUGUGAUUUAGCUAACAACAACUAUGAUGACAGCUCUAUGCUAUGGGGAUUAUUCAAGGGAAACAGAAACUACAUCUCCCAUCAGCCUCCGGCGUAGUGGCUGAUUUCCCUAUUCGCUGCCCGCCCACAGCCAGGAGCCGGGUUUUGGGGACUUGCCUGAACAUGCAGCUUUCGAUUUCAUUGCGGAGCGCUUCGAAAGUCAGACACACACCCAGUUGAAAGCAUCGCUGCCUCUGGUUGAGGUUCCUCCCGGCGCUUGUGUAACAGGAAUCAAGUUUGGGACACCUGAUUCCUCGGCACAGCCUUCAGUUGAGUUACACUAGAACCAGAUGGACAGGAAGAAGCAAAGCCAUGGCAGUAGUAUAACAUCAAA